rnacentral:rRNA from 1 species
GAUGAACGCUGGCGGCGUGCCUAAUACAUGCAAGUCGAGCGAACAGAUGAGGAGCUUGCUCCUCUGACGUUAGCGGCGGACGGGUGAGUAACACGUGGAUAACCUACCUAUAAGACUGGGAUAACUUCGGGAAACCGGAGCUAAUACCGGAUAAUAUAUUGAACCGCAUUGUUCAAUAGUGAAAGACGGUUUUGCUGUCACUUAUAGAUGGAUCCGCGCCGCAUUAGCUAGUUGGUAAGGUAACGGCUUAACAAGGCAACGAUGCGUAGCCGACCUGAGAGGGUGAUCGGCCAAACUGGAACUGAGACACGGUCCAGACUCCUACGGGAGGCAGAAGUAGGGAAUCUUCCGCAAUGAGCGAAAGCCUGACGGGGCAACGCCGCGUGAGUGAUGAAGGUCUUCGGAUCGUAAAACUCUGUUAUUAGGGAAGAACAAAUGUGUAAGUAACUAUGCACGUCUUGACGGUACCUAAUCAGAAAGCCACGGCUAACUACGUG